GUAGGUUUUCGUGCCUGACGAAGACCGAGACAUGAACCGAGUAUAUCAAGUCCUUUUUCCGCUAGGUGAUUCAAAGUUGUUGCUCCUUUUUUAAAUAGUGAAUUUUGAGAGGAAAGUGAUGGUUUUGAGGUUUUCGAAAAUCUGGUGAAGCCGUGUCAUGGUUUGCUUCGGAGACAUGAUGUAUGUACCUGUCUGAAAAAAACUAGACCUGGAACCACUUGCUCUCCUGCUUCAAUAUGUGUAUGUAAGCAAGAGACACGUAUGAACACGUAAUCAAAGUGACGCUGAGAAAAAGUUCAGCUUGUACUUUCAAUCCUACUCAAAAUACUAGUUACCAUUCUUUGUAAACGGUAGUGUAAAGCAAGCGAGCCCUUCUAUUGAACAAUAGAGGAAGAAGCAUACCUUUCGAAAAUCAAGCAAAGAUUGAUAUGAAAUGAUCAUAUUUGAGAUAUUUCACUCACUUUUGUUAGCAUCAAUAAACCACAGAAGAAGGGGAUUACGAGAUGUUUCAUAAACAGUACAAUAUUGUUUAAGUCGGGGAGGCCCUGCCAGGCUCAGAUUGGUUCGGGUGAAAUCAUCAUGCGUAGAAAACCGCUCUCGGAUGUUCAAUCUCACGCUGAUCACGUUUGACAUUCCCAGCACAGAAAUAGCCCAGGGGCCAUCCCGUCCUCUUUGAUACUCUGAACAAAUGCACAAAUACAUACCGUGAAUAAUCAAGUGAGAUGAAAACGAAACUUACGCUCAAUUUUAGAUAAAUUGACUAAUUGUUUUUGAUGUUGUGCUCUAAGAAUCUGAAAGGGCGAUUCCCAUCUCCGUCACGAAGCAGCAAAUCAAGACACCCACUCUAUAUCUAGCGAUCCUACUCCCCAAGAGUAAGAAUCAUAUAUGGAGAGAGACGAUCAGUCUCAGUUUCUGACCAAAUCUUGCUUCUUCCGGAAGAACCGUCCUGUUCUGCUGGUUUUGUAAAUUCAGUUGACGUACAUAGAGUAUUACUGUUGUCUAGAUAGGAUUGCAUAUCAAAAGAUAAAUUUCGACCUAGAAAUAAUCCUACGCGGUUGACGGAUGCUAGUUUGCUUUUUGAAAGUAUUUUCUACCCAAUGGGGUUUUGGCUCAAUCUUGCUUAUUGUUGUGAGUGCUCAAUAAUGGUUAUGAGUAUCAAUAAGUGUUACAAAAGAAUUUAAAUCUGCAUAUAUCUCCCAGCUAUAGGAUGACCUAUGUCUAUGUUGGAAAACUGGCCACAUCUGGCACAAAUGUGUUUUGAAGAGGAGAGUUGUCCGACCCGUUUGAUGAGCUGCACCGUUAUCGUCGAAGUAUUUUGAAACAUGAGAAUUUUUGGAAUGUUUGGGUACGACAUCCAAUCCAGACAUGCAUUUUAGUUUUGUUUGUUUUUGCUCAUAUCAAACGGUAAUACCCGCAGUUAUCUUUUUACCCAAAAUAAGAUCAAUCUGUCCUUCCUUGUCCUUUAUGAUCGUCUGGUUAAAGCGAAGACUUGACUUUCAUAACUUACCUAUUCCUUCUAUAAUUUAUCGUGUUCAUACAUAGCACUUGGUUUUGACGAUGGAAGUGGUAAACCAAACCAACAAGCAAGAACCUUCUCUCGAGGUUUUGUGGAUUCAAACCCGGUCCCGGAAGCAAGUUAUCCCAUUUGGAGACAAAAUUGUCAAUUUUUGACGAUUCCAGCAAUUCAAAAAUAACAUUUCGACGGAAUGUCAAGCAAGAUAGUCCAUCUUGAAAACACAUAAACAUGAAGUUCACAUGGUACUUCUUUUCCGAUAGCAUAAGGUUAGGCUUACAAUCGAUGGUCUAAAACGUUCCAGAUCGCCAAGAUGAAUGAAUGCCCCGAGGAAAACAAAUGGAAAGUCCCCGAAUAUGGAAUGUUUUCAUCAAUCUGCUCUGAGUGAGAUUGUUGAUUUAAGAAGCAGUUGGCCACACCCAUAGAAACGAAGACAGACCCACGCCCAACGGAGGCAGAUGGUAGAAGGCACUGCCCUCUGCAUCAACGGCUUGAACGAGGACAAAAGCAACUUCGAAUCCUGACAUUGAAAUUCACCCUUCGUCUGAACUACUUCCGAUCUCCGAUGAUUCUCCAAUGUGCCACAAAACUAACCCGAAAUACACGAACAAACGACGAG